rnacentral:lncRNA from 1 species
UUUUUUUUUUUUUUUUUUUUUCUUCCCCCUCCAUAAACAAGUGAUUAAUGCCUUGCAAAAAGGCACAGACACACCUUCCCCACAGCAAGGGAGCCCCUGCCAGAUUCCCCAGCCUUAAUUCUGCUGUUAACACCCCUCAGGGGGAGGGGUGAAGAGUAAAUCCCCUCCUGCAAGAAGCAGACCUGCGGGCAAUGUGGUUUGUUUAAAGUCUCUGAGCUGAGCCACCGACCUCCCAUUUGCUCUGAUGACGUGAGUACUUCAAAAAGAAAAAGAAAAAAACAAAAAAAAACCCAACUCAUCUUUACCUAAGGCAGCACCCAGUUUGUAAAUGUCUCUGCAUAGGACCCUCCCAAAUGGACAUGACCAUGGCAGAAUUUUCCCUUCCUUCUCCCAGCGCCAGUGAACAGAGGGGGGAGCUCCAUGAAUCAACAUUUUCAGAGAGUUUCACAGGCUCCUUUUUCCAUUGAGUUUGCAAGGGGCAUCUUGACUGAAUUAAGAAAUAAAUUCCUGACGAACUUGUGCACACUUUUGGACAAUGAACGAACUGAACACUGAGUGCAAGAAGAAAUCUUAGGCACAUUUAUUUAUUUAUUAUUUAUUUUUUAUUUAUUUUUUGUUUGUUUUUUUUUUUUGUCUUUUUGUCUUUUCUAGGGCCUCUCCCUUGGCACAUGGAGGUUCCCAGAAAAAGCAAAAAGACAAAAAAUAAAAAAGAAAAGAAAAGUUUGGAAACCAUUAGCCUAGACCAUGAAAACCAGUAGACAUUUAAUCCCUGCUCUGCCAAAUGUAGCCAAAGAGCAGGUUGGCCAAAGAGGAACAAUGAAAUCUAACAUUUACUGGGCACCAGUUCUGUGGCAAGGAUUAGAAUAAAUUCUCUCUCCUGAGUGAUCUUGUCUUUCCUGUUCAUCAGCUGUGAGAGACUAAUAGGACUGGCUCCAUUUUUAUGGAUAAGGAAACUGAGGCCCCGAGAGGCACGAUCUGGUGCCAAAACAAGAAUAGUCACUGAUGAGCUAAGACAUCUAGCCAUUAGGAGUUUUUUCUCUGUGACCUUGGAACAAUUACUUUUCCUCUCUGAGCCUUAGUCUCCCCAGUCUUAGAGGACUGGGCUAAGGAUUCAUUGGGUCCAUUGUAACUCUUUGGUCUUCAUCCCCCUCCUCCAUGACCUUCCUGUUGCUUCCUUUCUUCUGUCUUCCCAGGAAUGUGUCAGAGGCAGCCUGGUAUGGCAGAAAGAGAACCUGAGUACUGAGUUCCAAUUCUAAUCCUGUCUUACGCAGACCCUGGUGAAUCACUUAACCUCUCUGAGCCUCACUUUCCCCAACAAUAAAAUGGGGAGGAAAAGAAGAACUACCUUUGAGCAUUGCUGGGAUGAUGGAGUCGAUGAAUGGAGUGCCCAGUCCAGCAGGCGCGAUAUAGCAGGUGUUCAAGUAAAGGUGCAUUCUCUGCACUGCUUUCUCUCAACUUCCCCAGUCACCCCCAUGUCUUGGUUCAUCCCCCUUCCCCGGGCUCGGCUGAAAUGUCACCUUCUCAGUGAGGCCUCCUCUGACCACCCUUUAAAACUAAAUGCCUUUGGCGUUGAUAGAUGCAACCUGUUGCAUUUGGAGUGGAUGGGCAAUGAGACCCUGCUGUAAAGCACAGGAAACUAUAUCUAGUCACUUGCGAUGAAGCAUGAUGGAGGAUAAUGUGAGAAAAAGAAUGUGUGUGUGUGUGUGUGUGUGUGUGUGUGUGUGUGUGUGUAUGACUGGGUCACUUUGCUGUACCACAGAAAUUGGCAGAACAUUGUAAAUCAACUAGAAUAGAAAACAAUAAAAAUCUUUAAAAAAAUAAAUAAAUAAAACUAAACCCUACGAUCCCCCAUUUACAACUCCAUUUUCUGAUUUACUUUUUUCUGUGAGACUCAUCACCACCAAACAUUUAUUUUUCCUGUUUAUUGUGCUUCUCAUUAUUCUCUCCCCUCCUGGAAAGGCCUUGGGAAUCAGUCAUUUUUACGUGCCUGGCUUGCUGCUGUUUUCUUAGCCUAAGAGACAUAGUGGGUCCUUGUAGAUAUUUGCUGAAUGAAAAUGAGAUGAAUGAAUGAAUAUUUGAUCUGGUAAUGAUACCUUCAGAUAAUGCAGGAAAAGCACAGGGCAUCGGUCUUGCACAGAGUAGCUGGGCCAUAAAUGCUCUUGUUCUUGUUUUAUUGGGACCCCAGAAUCCGCUGAGGUUACCCUGUUCAACUUUAAGCUAUACUCGAUUUACCUGAGGAUGUUUCAACAGUUUCCAGCUUUCUUAUUUCUAUUAUCCCUUAAACAGACCUCCAAGUGCCUGUCCCAGUAGCUCAGAGUUCUCUAAGCUGUAUUUCACCAAAGGCUGUAACUGUUACUGUCCCAGGGCCAUUUGCAACUUUCCUUUCCUGAGCACAGAGGUUUGACUAAGCACUUUGUUUAAAGGCAGGAAAUGCAUCAGCUCCCUGUCUUAAUCUUUUUGAAGCGGUUACCCAGGGCUAAGGUCGGGCUUGUCUACAGAUGCUUUGUGCCAAAAGAGUGCCACAGGUAUUAUGGUGUCGGUGAAGAAGAAAAAGCAGUCAUUCUUUAGGUGGGAAUGAAUUCUUUAUGUUUCAGAGGGGGCAGAGCUGCCCAGAACAUCACCCUAGAGGUGGAGCAUGGGCGUGUUAGGAUGGGGGUACUGACAGACACUUUGGGGAGAAACUUGCCCUCUCUGAGCCAAACCAUCCCAAGCCAGACCUUGCUCCCCUCUGGACCUGCUGAGAAAUAUUCCUUGAAACGUUGUUGAUAAUGGCUUUCCUCUCUGUGCUAGCACGAGGUAUCUGCUGAGGGACAUCCAGGGAUCAAACCCGCAUCCAUAGACAUGGAUACUAUGUCAGAUUCUUAACCCACUGAGCCACAAUGAGAACUCCUGCUUUUAUAUUUUUAAUAUUGCUUUUAUUCAAAAUUGUAAUCUUAGACCAAGAAGAGAAUUUUGAGGUGGUAUCCACAGGCUUCAUGAGAUUGUCCAAAGCAUCUGUGAUGCAAAAAGGUGGUGAAGCCAUUCUUGGUGAUGGAGAAGAGGAAGGGAGGCCUUGAGCCAUGAUUCUGGGGCUCAGGGAGUUGCAGAGCUUAGAAACCCAAAGUGGGAACACAGGAUCCUUGAUAUGGUGACACCAUUAAAAAGCUUUAGGAAAGCACACUGAGCAGUAUUCUCCAAAAAUGUCAAAAGGGGAGUUCCGUAUGGGCCUAGCAGUGAAGGAUCCAGCAUUGUCACUGCUAUGGUGUAAGUUUGAUGCCUGGCCCAGGAACUUUCACAUGUCACUGGUAGAGCCAAACCCACUCCCCCUCCAAAAUGUCCAAAGGGGUUCCAGGGUGGAAGCAGAACAUAGCUUUUUGUUUAUUUAUUUUAGAGCUGAACCUGCGACCUAUGGAGGGUCCCAGGCUAGGGGUUGAAUUGGAACUGCAGUUGCCGGCCUACACCACAGCCACAGCAGUGCCAGAUCUUUAACCCACUCAGAGAGGCCAGGGAGCGAACCC